GGUUAUCAUUUUCCUGGAUCGACUUCUUCUUCGUCGAUAAGGAUGUUGGUGAACCUAUAGCUCUUGCUUUUAUCGAGUUUACUAGAAGAGGAGCUCUUAGAUAGCUUGAAGCUGCUUCUCAUGGAUCGGUCAAGAAUAACAGGGAAACAACAGGCCAUUUUCCACUCUUUUUUACUUGACCGAUCCAUUUUUAUUUUUUACAUAUAAAA
rnacentral:lncRNA from 1 species